rnacentral:rRNA from 1 species
AUAAGCCAGCUUGACUGCGAGACCCACAAGUCGAGCAGGUACGAAAGUAGGUCUUAAUGAUCCUCCGAUGCAUAGUGGUAUGCACGGAGCUUAACGGAUAAAAGCUACCCCGGGGAUAACAGGCUGAUCGCACCCAAGCGUUCAUAGCGACGGUGCGGUUUGGCACCUCGAUGUCGGCUUAACACGUAAGUGUUUGGGCCCUCCAACAGGUAACUGUUGGAGCAAAUUUGGCUAAUAACGGUGAAUUCCUAUUGACUGAUAAGCUUCUCAGCUUUACUAUAAAGUCAAGGAAAAUACCGUGGGAAGUCAAGAGUUUGUAAAACUAACUCAAAGGCAAGAAGAAAUUCUCCUUGGAACAUUAUUGGGAGAUGGCUUUCUUGAGCAAAAUGGGAAAAAUGCUAGAUUGAAAAUUGAUCAUAAAGGAAGUCAAAAAGACUAUGUUCUUUGGCUUCAUAAGGAAUUUAAAUCGAUUGCUUUAAAACCAUAUCAAAUAUUUGUUCAAGAUAAACGAAACGAUAAGGUUUAUAAUCAAUGGCGUUUCGCAACCUAUUCAUUACCAUUACUUAAUCCAUGGAUAAAACUUUUUUAUCGGAAUAGAAGGAAGAUAGUUCCUUUGAUGAUAACUGAGUUGAUUACCCCAUUGUCUUUAGCAGUUUGGUAUAUGGAUGAUGGCUUUCGUCGAACAGAUUGCAAGGGUAUAUACCUUUGUACAUCUGGUUAUUCGAUGAAAGAACAAAAGGUAUUACAGGUAUGUCUUAAGAAGAAGUUUGAUAUUCGAACAGCUCUGCAUUUUGCAGCGAAAAAUGUUCGUAUUUAUAUCCCUUCUUCACAAGCAGAUAAUUUCUGUAAUAUUGUCAGACCAUUCAUAUUACCACGCUUUUCAUACAAACUUUUUGACCCCGUAACGACUGAAGAUCCUCAUAUUAGAGGAACUGAGAUGGUUAAAUUCUCAACAAAUUAGUUAGAAAUACACUAACCAUCAUACGCCAAGCCCCUAAGUAAAACUUAGGGUGAUGCAUCCUGGGGGUGGAGAAGCUCCCAAGGGUCUGGCUGUUCGCCAGUUAAAGCGGUACGCGAGCUGGGUUCAGAGCGUCGUAAGACAGCUCGGUCUCUAUCCAGGACAACCGUUGAUAUUUGAGGAGAUUCGUCCCUAGUACGAGAGGACUGGGAUGAGGGAAUCCCUGGUGUGCCAGUUGUGGAAAUUUUUCUGCAUCGCUGGGUAACUAGAUUCCCAACGGAUAACCGCUGAAAGCAUCUAAGUGGGAAGCCGCCUCCAAGAUUAGAUAUCGCCUUAUGCAUAGCAUAAGGAC